rnacentral:rRNA from 2 species
AGAGUUUGAUCAUGGCUCAGAUUGAACGCUGGCGGCAGGCCUAACACAUGCAAGUCGAGCGGUAGCACAGAGAGCUUGCUCUCGGGUGACGAGCGGCGGACGGGUGAGUAAUGUCUGGGAAACUGCCUGAUGGAGGGGGAUAACUACUGGAAACGGUAGCUAAUACCGCAUAACGUCGCAAGACCAAAGUGGGGGACCUUCGGGCCUCAUGCCAUCAGAUGUGCCCAGAUGGGAUUAGCUAGUAGGUGGGGUAACGGCUCACCUAGGCGACGAUCCCUAGCUGGUCUGAGAGGAUGACCAGCCACACUGGAACUGAGACACGGUCCAGACUCCUACGGGAGGCAGCAGUGGGGAAUAUUGCACAAUGGGCGCAAGCCUGAUGCAGCCAUGCCGCGUGUGUGAAGAAGGCCUUCGGGUUGUAAAGCACUUUCAGCGGGGAGGAAGGCGGUGAGGUUAAUAACCUCAUCGAUUGACGUUACCCGCAGAAGAAGCACCGGCUAACUCCGUGCCAGCAGCCGCGGUAAUACGGAGGGUGCAAGCGUUAAUCGGAAUUACUGGGCGUAAAGCGCACGCAGGCGGUCUGUCAAGUCGGAUGUGAAAUCCCCGGGCUCAACCUGGGAACUGCAUUCGAAACUGGCAGGCUAGAGUCUUGUAGAGGGGGGUAGAAUUCCAGGUGUAGCGGUGAAAUGCGUAGAGAUCUGGAGGAAUACCGGUGGCGAAGGCGGCCCCCUGGACAAAGACUGACGCUCAGGUGCGAAAGCGUGGGGAGCAAACAGGAUUAGAUACCCUGGUAGUCCACGCCGUAAACGAUGUCGAUUUGGAGGUUGUGCCCUUGAGGCGUGGCUUCCGGAGCUAACGCGUUAAAUCGACCGCCUGGGGAGUACGGCCGCAAGGUUAAAACUCAAAUGAAUUGACGGGGGCCCGCACAAGCGGUGGAGCAUGUGGUUUAAUUCGAUGCAACGCGAAGAACCUUACCUGGUCUUGACAUCCACAGAACUUAGCAGAGAUGCUUUGGUGCCUUCGGGAACUGUGAGACAGGUGCUGCAUGGCUGUCGUCAGCUCGUGUUGUGAAAUGUUGGGUUAAGUCCCGCAACGAGCGCAACCCUUAUCCUUUGUUGCCAGCGGUUCGGCCGGGAACUCAAAGGAGACUGCCAGUGAUAAACUGGAGGAAGGUGGGGAUGACGUCAAGUCAUCAUGGCCCUUACGACCAGGGCUACACACGUGCUACAAUGGCAUAUACAAAGAGAAGCGACCUCGCGAGAGCAAGCGGACCUCAUAAAGUAUGUCGUAGUCCGGAUUGGAGUCUGCAACUCGACUCCAUGAAGUCGGAAUCGCUAGUAAUCGUAGAUCAGAAUGCUACGGUGAAUACGUUCCCGGGCCUUGUACACACCGCCCGUCACACCAUGGGAGUGGGUUGCAAAAGAAGUAGGUAGCUUAACCUUCGGGAGGGCGCUUACCACUUUGUGAUUCAUGACUGGGGUGAAGUCGUAACAAGGUAACCGUAGGGGAACCUGCGGUUGGAUCACCU